rnacentral:rRNA from 1 species
ACGGGAGGCAGCAGUGGGGAAUAUUGCACAAUGGGCGAAAGCCUGAUGCAGCGACGCCGCGUGAGUGAAGAAGUAUCUCGGUAUGUAAAGCUCUAUCAGCAGGGAAGAAAAUGACGGUACCUGACUAAGAAGCCCCGGCUAACUACGUGCCAGCAGCCGCGGUAAUACGUAUGGAGCAAGCGUUAUCCGGAUUUACUGGGUGUAAAGGGAGCGUAGACGGCAAAGCAAGUCUGAAGUGAAAUCCCGGGGCUCAACCCCGGAACUGCUUUGGAAACUGUUUAGCUAGAGUGCAGGAGAGGUAAGCGGAAUUCCUAGUGUAGCGGUGAAAUGCGUAGAUAUUAGGAGGAACACCAGUGGCGAAGGCGGCUUACUGGACUGUAACUGACGUUGAGGCUCGAAAGCGUGGGGAGCAAACAGGAUUAGAUACCCUGGUA